rnacentral:lncRNA from 1 species
UAUGGCGGCCAUAUAUAAAAACCAAAAUUUCACAUGUUUCCAGUCAAUGUAGACGUUAAUAUUUACGAUAUUGAAAUCUGUUUAUGAAGUUUGUUGUCAUUUUCUAUUUUUAUCCUAAAAUUAUUUUUUUUACACACCGGCCCGUGACCCACCUCAUUUUCACCUUUGUUUUAGCCACAUAAAAAAUAGGUAAUAAAUAAAUAUCUAUCUUUUCUAUUUAUCAUAUCUUACAAUAUAUAUAUAUUCUCUUUCGACCCGACUUUAAAUUAUUCCUUACAAUGUCUUCAUCGUCAUCUACCGAAUCUUCAAUUGUAACCAGGUUUUCUUCAACAAACAAGGAAAAAGUGAGAUUCGAGGACUCUUCAACGUUUACUAUGUCGUCAUCUACCGAAUCUUCAUGUGCAACCAGGUUUUCUUCAACAAACGAGGAAAAAGUGAGAUUCGAGGACUCUUCAAUGUUUACUAUGUCGUCAUUUACCGAGUCAUCAAAGGAAACCAGAUUUUCUUCGUCGUCGAAAAGAAAAGAUAGGAUGGAAAAUCCUUUAAGGAAGGACUAGCCCUGUCAAUCGAACGAAUUCGAACCGGAUACCCCUAUAUCCGAAUUCGAAUUCGAUUAGUAUCCGGAUAAUCCGAAUUCGUCCGAUUAGUAUUCGAAUUUCAAAAUCCGUAUCCGAAUUCGAAUUCGAUUAAAAAUAUCCGAAUUCGGAUAUCCGAAUUCGAUUCGAAUAACAUUUAUAAA